AUUAAACGUUAAUGGAAGUAAACACACCGGUGUUUGAAAGUGCUGAUCAGUCCUGAUGAUUCUUCAAGUCCACAGAGUUAGAGUCAUUCCUGGGAUCAAACAUUUCAUGGCUAUGCCAAAUCACAUGCUGAUGACACCAGUGUCGGUGAUGGCAGCUCUGAAAGUGUCGGUGUUCAGGAAUCUCCUGACAUGCAUGAGAUCUCCACAUAUACCGAAAGACCAGAAAUAACCAUCAAAGACAUUAAUGCCUCAGACAAUAAAAUCAUGUUUCAUACUGGCUAGGCAACUUUCUUUUUUUAAAUUCUGUGUUUUUGACAUUUAUUGAAUUUGGUACCGAAAAGUAAUGUACUGAAAACUGAACACUGUUAAGAUUGAGACAGGGCGUAAAAGAAAGUUAAGACAUGUUGAUGAGUUUCAAUGACAUGGUAAACAAAUUAUUUGAUGCAACAUAAUAACUCUUCAUUACCUGUACUGUAUUGAUAAAUAAAACAUUUUUUUUAAUUU